rnacentral:rRNA from 1 species
UACAGAGGUCUCAAGCGUUGUUCGGAUUCAUUGGGCGUAAAGGGUGCGUAGGCGGCGCGGUAAGUCGGGUGUGAAAUCUCGGGGCUUAACUCCGAAACUGCAUUCGAUACUGCGGUGCUUGAGGACUGGAGAGGAGACUGGAAUUCAUGGUGUAGCAGUGAAAUGCGCAGAUAUCAGGAGGAACACCGGUGGCGAAGGCGGGUCUCUGGGCCGAAACUGACGCUGAGGAGCGAAAGCGUGGGGAGCAAACAGG